rnacentral:misc_RNA from 1 species
CGGCGAUGAUCUCGAGCUCGAGAACCCGCGGAAGAAGAAGCGGUACCACCGCCACACUCCCCAGCAGAUUCAGGAGCUCGAAGGACUGUUCAAGGAGUGCCCGCACCCAGAUGAGAAGCAGCGGCUGGAGCUCAGCAAGAGGCUGAAUCUGGAGACCCGGCAGGUCAAGUUCUGGUUCCAGAACCGCCGGACUCAAAUGAAGACACAAAUUGAGAGGCAUGAGAACUCCAUGCUGAGGAUGGAGAACGACAAGCUCCGGGCUGAAAACAUGACUAUCCGCGAGGCCAUGCGGAAUCCGAUUUGUAACACUUGCGGCAGCCCGGCCAUACUGGGGGAUGUGUCGUUGGAGGAGCAACACCUGAGGAUUGAGAAUGCUAGGCUGAAGGAUGAGCUGGACAGGG